CCGUUGCCAGCCCGACUCAGAACUUAAAGGAAGUUGACGGGGACCCGCACAAGCAGCGGAGCGUGUGGUUUAAUUCGAUGCUACACGAAGAACCUUACCAAGGUUUGACAUGUAAGUGGUAGUGAUCUGAAAAGUGAACGACCCUUCGGGGAGCUUACACAGGUGCUGCAUGGCUGUCGUCAGCUCGUGUCGUGAGAUGUUCGGUUAAGUCCGCUAACGAGCGCAACCCUCACUGUGUGUUACAUGUGUCACACGGGACUGCCGGUUUUAAGCCGGAGGAAGGCGAGGAUGACGUCAAGUCAGCAUGGCCUUUAUAUCUUGGGCUACACACACGCUACAAUGGUCUGUACAAUAGGUUGCCAAGCCGCGAGGCGGAGCCAAUCCUUAAAGCAGGCCUCAGUUCAGAUUGCAGGCUGCAACCCGCCUGCAUGAAGAUGGAGUUGCUAGUAACCGCAGGUCAGCUAUACUGCGGUGAAUACGUUCCCGGGCCUU
rnacentral:rRNA from 1 species